CCAUUCACUUUUGCAGUUUAGCCCCUCCCUAUUCCUCUUUUUCCUUUUCUUCCUUCUCUCUCUUUUCCAGCCGGUUACUAUUCAUGGGCCACCAACCGUUCGAUAUGGGUCUAGCCCAGACCGAACUCUUCCUGACCCAGCGCCGCUCCUCCCCGGUCGCCACUGAACCGCGUGCGCGCCUUCCCUGCCCCGUGCGUUUCACCGUGCCGUGUGCCGCUCCCGUGCGCCGCUCCGAGUCACCGCGCCCGCGUGGACCCACCGCCCGACCAAGCCGCCGAAACCCCGCGCAAAAGCUGCGCCGCCACGAACACGCGCGUCAUCGCCGUCGCCAUCGCGCGUCGCCUCGGGGCAGAUGGAGAACGGCCGCUGCGCCAUCCCGCAUCACCCCUAGCCCUAGCCAACUGCCCUACACCGAGAAAACCGCUCUCACCAAGCCGUCGCUCUGCUGUCGCCCAUGUGCGUGCGUCCCGUCGCCCCCAUUCGCGCCCAAUGGAUAAAACGGAGCCUCCUGCCACAGCUAGAGCUAGAACGCACAGACUUUAGGCUUUAGGUACGAUGAUGGAGCCAGGAAACCUUAAUUGAGAAGGAAAUCAAGCUUUAUCCCGUCAUCCACCUCAUUGUUCUUACCCAAUCGCCAUUAGGGCUCUAGCUCGUCCAGGCAUGUGUUGGCAAUCUUAUCCCCAACGUUUCCUUACACGCUAAGCUAAGCCCCCAACAAAAUCCCCAUCCCUCUCUGCCUUUUCCUCCAAUACAUUUCGUCGAACACCUUGGGCGCGUGCUGCAGCUUCUUCCCUGCUCCACCACCGCGACAUCGAACUUCGUCGUUCCUCCUUCCCUCGAAUUUGUAUAUCGGUUAGUCGUGAGGCAACGUAUGCAGCUUCCAGGAGGUGAAGGUUGAUCAAGAUUAUAUCAAGAAUAAGAAUUAUCCUGAGCAGGCAAGUCAUCACCCCAUCCCUUGAGCAUGUUGGUCCUAAUUGUGAAACUGUUUUGUUUACAAAUAAAAUUGCAUGCAGUGAUGCAUAUCCUACUUAUUAUUAUGCCAUGCCUUUGAUUA